rnacentral:rRNA from 1 species
AAUGAACGUUGGCGGCGUGGAUUAGGCAUGCAAGUCGAGCGAGAACCCCGCAAGGGGGGACAGCGGCAAACGGGGUAGUAAUGUGUCGGAACGUGCCCAGAGGACGGGGAUAGCGGCGGGAAACUGCCGGUAAUACCCGAUGAUCUCGAGAGAGCAAAGGUGUGAUUCCGCCUUUGGAGCGGCCGACAUGGUAUUAGCUAGUUGGCGGGGUAACGGCCCACCAAGGCUGUGAUGCCUAGGGGAUGUGAGAGCAUGAUCCCCACCAUUGGGACUGAGACACUGCCCAGACACCUACGGGUGGCUGCAGUCGAGAAUCUUCGUCAAUGGGCGAAAGCCUGAACGAGCGACGCCGCGUGCGGGAUGAAGGCCUUUGGGUUGUAAACCGCUGUCGAGGGGGAUGAAGGCUUGAAAGUCAUCUUUCAAGUUUGACAGAGCCCUGGAGGAAGCACGGGCUAAGUUCGUGCCAGCAGCCGCAGUAACAC